AACGAACGCUGGCGGCGCGCCUAAUACAUGCAAGUCGAGCGAGAAGACGUAGCAAUACGUUUGUAAAGCGGCGAACGGGUGAGGAAUACAUGGGUAACCUACCCUCGAGUGGGGAAUAACUAGCCGAAGGUUAGCUAAUACCGCGUACGCUCCUUGGACUUCGGUUCAGGGAGGAAAGCGAUACCGUGGGUAUCGCGCUCUUGGAUGGGCUCAUGUCCUAUCAGCUUGUUGGNGAGGUAACGGCUCACCAAGGCUUCGACGGGUAGCUGGUCUGAGAGGACGAUCAGCCACACUGGCACUGCGACACGGGCCAGACUCCUACGGGAGCAGCAGUAAGGAA
rnacentral:rRNA from 1 species